CAGCCGCCACGGUAAAACGUAGGUGGCAAGCGUUGUCCGGAAUUAUUGGGCGUAAAGGGCUCGCAGGCGGUUUCUUAAGUCUGAUGUGAAAGCCCCCGGCUUAACCGGGGAGGGUCAUUGGAAACUGGGAAACUUGAGUGCAGAAGAGGAGAGUGGAAUUCCACGUGUAGCGGUGAAAUGCGUAGAGAUGUGGAGGAACACCAGUGGCGAAGGCGACUCUCUGGUCUGUAACUGACGCUGAGGAGCGAAAGCGUGGGGAGCGAACAGGAUUAGAUACCCCAGUAGUCCCUGUCUCUUAUAC
rnacentral:rRNA from 1 species